rnacentral:misc_RNA from 1 species
GAUGAAGAACGCAGCGAAAUGCGAUAACUAGUGUGAAUUGCAGAUUUCAGUGAAUCAUCGAGUCUUUGAACGCACAUUGCGCCCGCCAGCACUCUGGCGGGCAUGCCUGUUCGAGCGUCAUUUCAACCAUCAAGCCCCCAGGGGCUUGUGCUGGGGCCCUGCGGCUGCCCGCAGGCCCUGAAAACCAGUGGCGGGCUCGCUAGUCACACCGAGCGCAGUAGCACAUCUCGCUCAGGGCGUGCGGCGGGCUCCUGCCGUGAAACCCCCCACUGUAACCCCAAAGGUUGACCUCGGAUCAGGUAGGAAUACCCGCUGAACUUAAGCAUAUCAAUAAGCGGAGGA